rnacentral:tRNA from 15 species
GUCUUUAUGGUGUAAUGGAUAGCACAGGAGUCUUCUAAACUCUUAGUCAAGGUUCGAUUCCUUGUAAAGACACCA